GGAUACAGCGGCAGGGAACUGCAAAAAUGGAGGAGGUGGAAGGAAGCUCUCAGCCGGGGCAGCCGGCCCCUCGUUUCAGGACACCAUGGCUGGGAAGGGAGAAGGAGGAGAGAAGAUCCAAGCUGAGCGGUGGGGGAGGCCUUCCCGGAGCUAAACGGAACCAAGGAGUCCCUGAUCACUUGAAGCCAGCCUUGUUUCUCUCACAAAGCUCUGCCCGAGAGUCCAGAACGUCCUCUUAGGGAAUGUGAAUAUGAGCCCCGCGGGGAACCACUGGAAAUCUCUCCUCAGCAUGAUUGGCACCCAGCCACCCGCCUCCUCACCUCUUCUCGGCUUAUUGAAGGUGGGCGUGGCGGUGGACCAAGAAGAUGUUUAGAAUCAGCUGUCUGACACUUCUGAGGCUCCCUCACCUUCAACUGACAAUCUGCAUUUCUUUUAAAUCUAGAGAAACAGCUCCUUGCUCAAGAGUUACUUACCUUGUCAAUGAUUAUUACUUUUCUUGGCUGUAGGCUGCAUGUGAAAAAGGAAUGAUAAGCCAGCUAGCUGCCUCUUCUCUCUCCCUAGUGGAAAAUAUCGCCCUCAUUCCCACGCCACCCCCCAUUGCAAGAUUCCAGACCCCUGGUUAUUUUCUGAUUAACAAAGGCAGAGGCACCCUCGAGAAAUAACACCACUGAAUAAAAAAUAGUCAAACUAUG